rnacentral:lncRNA from 1 species
AAACAUCAUGGCUAAAGUUGACACAGUAGAGUUCAGCUUAAUCCCAGGGUAUUAUAAAUUAUCUAGAUUGAUAAUUUACUAUGGUAUCAAACUUCCCUCAUUUCCAUGGAGAACUAGGUUCUGUUUAGAUUCUUGAUUAGGAAACUGCUGGUUUUACAUGAUGUGUGCUGCAUGUGGGUGAGAAUUGGAAGAUGAGGAAUUGGUGGCAUGUUUGUGAGAAGUGGGACCUCUUAGGUG